rnacentral:rRNA from 1 species
GGAUUAGAUACCCUGGUAGUCCAUGCCGUAAACGUUGGGCACUAGGUGUGGGGAACAUUCCACGUUUUCCGCGCCGUAGCUAACGCAUUAAGUGCCCCGCCUGGGGAGUACGGCCGCAAGGCUAAAACUCAAAGGAAUUGACGGGGGCCCGCACAAGCGGCGGAGCAUGCGGAUUAAUUCGAUGCAACGCGAAGAACCUUACCAAGGCUUGACAUGGACCGGAUCGCUGCAGAGAUGUAGUUUCCCUUCGGGGCUGGUUCACAGGUGGUGCAUGGUUGUCGUCAGCUCGUGCCG